rfam:Oryza sativa Japonica Group DNA, chromosome 10, cultivar: Nipponbare, complete sequence.
GAUAUCAACUGAAAAAGUCAUCAACAACAAAGUUGAAUAACUCAUCAAGAUCUAAAACUUUUAUUUUGGUCAUUUCUUAAUACGACAAAGUGAUAGUAACAUUGUUCACAAAAUUGACAUAUCUCUUAUCUGGUUUUAUAAACUAUAACACAUAUAUGCAAAAUUUGUGAAUAAUAUUACUAACAUUUCGUCGGAUGAAGAAAUAACAAAAAUAAAAGUUUUAGAUCUUGAUGAGUUAUUCAACUUUGUUGUUGAUGACUUUUUCAAUUGAAAUC